CGCGGCAGUCACGUGACUCGGUGGGCGGGGUCUCUCUCCCGGCGCGGCCCCGGUCGCUGUGGAGCCCGCGUGCGGCCGCUCGCGCAUGCGCGGGGGGGGGAGGGGCACCUCCCGCCGCCUCAGCGCUGCCGCGCCCUCGGGGUCCGCGCCUCUCUGCCCAGCGCGGUACCGGCGGCGUCGCCUCAGGUUUUCCCUUGCUCAGUCCCCUUUGGGCGCGUCUCGGCUCACAAAAGUUACCUCAGGGUUUCUUACCCUUGGGUUUCCCGCCCUUCAGCUUCCCCCCAGGGUUUCACUCGCAAACCCUUCCCCCUUCAGGUUUCCUCCCCCCGACCUGCGCUAAUUCCCCCUCAGACCUGUUCCCACUUCCCCCUUUUCCCUGCAUCCCUCCCCGGCUCUCUUUCUCUACACUUUCCCCUUCUCCCCCAGCCUCCCUCGCUGGGAGGUCUCUCCCUGCGUGCCCCCAGUGAGGGGUAAGUGCUUCCCUCCCACAGGGGGUGCAGAUGCCCAGGGUUAGGCUUGCCCCAGCCUCGGGUUCCCAGUCCCCGGUGCCCCUCAGUCUGUGGGGCUGGUCUGGAUGGGUGGGGUGACCUGAGGGGAGAGUCUGACCCGAGUGUGUGGGGUUGACUCUGGUGUGUGUGGGGCUGAUCGUGGUAUGUGGGGCUGACUGGGUGUGUGCGGGGCUGAUCCCAGUGUGUGUCACUGACCCCCGUAUGUGGGGCUGACUGGGUGUGUGUGGGGCUGAUCCCGGUUUGUGGGGCUGAUCCCAGUGUGUGUCACUGACCCCCGUAUGUGGGGCUGACUCCGGCGCCCGUCACUGACCCCCGUGUCCGUCACUGUCCCGCUGUGGGUGGCCGGGGCGAUGGCGGCGGAGCCGGUGAAGGUGGCCGUGCGCUGCCGGCCGCUGAGCGGGCGUGAAGCGGCCUUGGGGCACCGAGCCAUCGUCCAUCGUCGGCGGGGACAGCGCACGGGGCCGGUACCUGGUGCGGAACCCCGCGGCCUUCACCCAGCCUCCCCAGGCAGUUCUCCUUCGGCGGGGAGCUCAGCACCGAGCACAUCCACAGUGAGAUCGCUACACCCUGGUGGAGGGUCUCAUGGAAGGCUACAAUGGCACCAUCUUUGCCUGUGGCAGUGGGAAAUCCUUCACCAUGCAGGGAGCUGCAGAUUGUGCCUCACAGAAAGGGAUCAUCCCCAGGGUGUUUGAACACAUCUUUGAGAGUGUGCAGGUGGGUGUGAAAGAGAUCCUGGAGAGGUUUGCUGGAAAGACUUUGGUGUCCUGUGCCAAGAAGUGAGUGCUGAUGGCAUGGAGUGUGAAUGGGGACAGGUUUGGGGCGCACUGCUCUAUGGUAUUGUCAGACAAGGGGAGAGAAAUGAUGCAUCUGGCUCCAUUGAUAUCAGAAGGCUAAUUAAUUACUUUAUUACACUGUAUUGUUCUAUACUAUAUUACAUUGCAUCUAAACUGAACCUGCCAAGCACUCAACUCUGCACAGAAUCUCGUGACUCUCAGCCCACACUCCUGACACACACACACACCUGGCCCUGUCAGGCCAAGGAAACAAAACACCAGCACUGUGGGUAAACAAGCUCCAUAUUGCAUUCUAUUUUUGCACAAACACGGGCACAGCAAAUGGUAAGAAUUGUGUUUUCUUUCUCUGAGGUUCAGAGAAUGUGAAACCCAGAAAUAUUCUUGGGAAGAGCCGUGCCUUGCUUUUCUCUGUGAGGAGAAACGUGGCUACACUGCUGAGGGCUGUGCAUAGUGACCUGAACUGUCCCCUCAUGCCAGGUGACACUGUGAGCUUGAGGUGUGGAAGGAGCAGGAGUUCCCUGCAGUGAGUGCUGAGUGAUUCCAGCUGGAGUGAAUGGCCGGGGGGGUUGGAUGAGGUGCUGAAGGGUGGGGGGCUCCCAGCUGUGGGAGGGGCUCCCUGUGCUGGGCAGCCUCAGCCCCAAACCCUCCCUGGCUCUGCAGCGUGCUGGGAACACCAAGCUCUGCUGAGAGCUCCUGCCUGGAGAUCUACAGUGAGCACACAUGGAGCUGACACCAAGCAGGAGCUGGAGGUGGGCUCAAUGUGUCUUAAUUAAGUGCUUUAAUUAGCUCAGAUGGGUGUUACCAUGGCUUACAGAAGUGCAGCAAAGGUCUCUGUCUGAAGCCUGAGUGCCAGAAUAUGAAGUUACAUGAGGAAUAUGGAAGCUAAGAGGGAGUUUUGAGGGACUUCAGUGAAAGUUCAAGAACAGGAUGCGGUUGGAGACAUGUCCAGUGUAUCCCAUGUGAUAGUGGCUGGUAGCUCAGCAGCAGCUCUGUGAAAAUCCUUCACUGGCCAAGGCUGGAAUAAAGUGCUCAUGGGGCAGUUUCUUCCUCA
rnacentral:lncRNA from 1 species